UCGGGAAUUUUGGGCAAUGGGCGAAAGCCUGACCCAGCAACGCCGCGUGAAGGAUGAAAUCCUUCGGGAUGUAAACUUCGCAAGAACAGGAAGAAUAAGUAGGGGUUAAUAUCUCCUACGAUGACGGUACUGUUUGUAAGCUCCGGCUAACUCCGUGCCAGCAGCCGCGGUAAUACGGGGGGAGCAAGCGUUGUUCGGAUUUACUGGGCGUAAAGGGCGCGUAGGCGGCCACCGCAAGUCGACUGUGAAAUCUCCGGGCUUAACCCGGAAAGGUCAGCCGAUACUGCGGGGCUAGAGUGCAGAAGGGGCAACUGGAAUUCUCGGUGUAGCGGUGAAAUGCGUAGAUAUCUGGAGGAACACCGGUGGCGAAGGCGGCAUCCUGGACCGACAUUGACGCUGAGGCGCGAAAGCCAGGGGAGCAAA
rnacentral:rRNA from 1 species